rnacentral:rRNA from 1 species
UGACCCUACGGGGCGCAGCAGUGAGGAAUAUUGGUCAAUGGGCGAGAGCCUGAACCAGCCAAGUCGCGUGAAGGAUGACGGCCCUACGGGUUGUAAACUUCUCUUGUCAGGGAGCAAUUGGGUCCACGUGUGGGCUUAGCGAGAGUACCUGAAGAAAAAGCAUCGGCUAACUCCGUGCCAGCAGCCGCGGUAAUACGGAGGAUGCGAGCGUUAUCCGGAUUUAUUGGGUUUAAUGGGUGCGUAGGCGUAAUAUCAAGUCAGCGGUAAAAAUUCGGGGCUCAACCCCGUCGUGCCG